rnacentral:rRNA from 1 species
UACAGGGGGGGCAAGCGUUGUUCGGAUUUACUGGGCGUAAAGGGCGCGUAGGAGGGCAGGUAAGUCAGUGGUGAAAUCUCCAAGCUUAACUUGGAAACUGCCGUUGAUACUAUCUGUCUUGAAUACCGUGGAGGUGAGCGGAAUAUGUCAUGUAGCGGUGAAAUGCUUAGAUAUGACAUAGAACACCAAUUGCGAAGGCAGCUCGCUACACGAAUAUUGACUCUGAGGCACGAAAGCGUGGGGAUCAAACAGG